UCCAGACUCCUACGGGAGGCAGCAGUGGGGAAUAUUGGACAAUGGGGGGAACCCUGAUCCAGCGACGCCGCGUGAGUGAAGAAGUAUCUCGGUAUGUAAAGCUCUAUCAGCAGGGAAGAAAGAAAUGACGGUACCUGACUAAGAAGCCCCGGCUAACUACGUGCCAGCAGCCGCGGUAAUACGUAGGGGGCAAGCGUUAUCCGGAUUUACUGGGUGUAAAGGGCGUGCAGCCGGGAGUGCAAGUCAGAUGUGAAAUCCCGCGGCUCAACCGCGGAACUGCAUUUGAAACUGUGCUUCUUGAGUGCUGGAGAGGCAGACGGAAUUCCUAGUGUAGCGGUGAAAUGCGUAGAUAUUAGGAGGAACACCAGUGGCGAAGGCGGCCUGCUGGACGAUGACUGACGUUGAGGCUCGCAAGCGUGGGGAGCAAACAGGAUUAGAUACCCCUGUA
rnacentral:rRNA from 1 species